GCAUGCAAGUCGAACGAAUGCUAGUUUUGUAGCAAUACCGAGCUAGCGGAAGUGGCGAAAGGGGCAGUAAUGCAUGGGUAACCUACCUUGGGGAUGGGGAUAGCCGUUCUAACGAGCGGGUAAUACCCAGAGAUUCGGCGGAGGGGCAUCCUUCUGCCGGGAAAUGAAUUUCGCCUCGAGAGGGGCCCAUGUGCUAUUAGCUAGUUGGUGAGGUAACGGCCCACCAAGGCUAAGAUGGCUAGCGGGUGUGAGAGCACGACCCGCGCCACUGGCACUGAGACACUGGCCAGACACCUACGGGUGGCUGCAGUCGAGGAUCUUCGUCAAUGGGCGCAAGCCUGAACGAGCGACGCCGCGUGCGCGAUGAAGGCCUUCGGGUUGUAAAGCGCGAAAGUGGAGAGAAAGGGAAACUUGAUCAAUCCACAGUAAGGACGGGCUAAGUUCGUGCCAGCAGCCGCGGUAAGACGAACUGUCCUAACGUUGUUCGGAAUCACUGGGCUUAAAGGGCGCGUAGGCGGUCCGACAAGUCGGGGGUGAAAUCCUGCAGCUUAACUGCAGAAGUGCCUUCGAUACUGUCGGUCUGGAGGG
rnacentral:rRNA from 1 species